CAUAUGAAAGACACACUUUUCUAAUAUUUUUGUUUGCCAUGAGAUUCUGUGGGUCUAGACAAAGUGCAAAUUAUAAUCGCAAACCAGUCGAAAAGUGGUCGAAAAGCCCCUUUUUUGUAUGGAGUUUUGUCGGAUUCGAUUUUCGAUUCGAUCAAAAAGUGCGUUUUGUCUAGGGGGGCAGAACUAUGUAAUAUUAAGUUGAAAUUGUAUAUUUGUUUCCAAUUAAUUCCAUGGUAAAAUCAGUAGAUUUUUAUUCGAUGUUUAGUUGCUUUGAAAUCGUUAGUGAGAAGGUAUGUUCAUAUUCAAAAUUUUACGUUCAUAUUUGAAAUAAAUAAUGGAUACAAUUCACCAAAUUAAUAUCGAGAAUUUACUUUAAAAUUAGUUCCUAAACAAUAUGCAUAAUCUUUAUAAAUAUAUUUUUAUAGUUUAAAAAUAAGUUACAAUAAAAGAAAUAUUUACAAUUUAUUUGAUUGCCUUCGUACCUUAAGUAACUGUGUUAUCAUGUGUGGCUUGUCUAUUUAUUAUUAUUAAAGUUAAUACCUAAGUUAACUUUAUUUGUUUUUAACUACAUAUAAAAUUAAUAUUUAACAAAUGAUUUUUUAAGUUAAUAACAUACGUACUACGUAAGUAAUAAUAUGUUAUAAUAACUUUCGAUUUCUUAGAUGUGCUUCAAUUCGUUAUCUCGAUAUUAAUUCGUUUAGGCAACAUUCAUUUGUUUUCUAUUAACAGUCUAAAGCGCUGUUGUGUUAUAUCCUUGAAGUUGAACUUACCUUACUUAUUUCCAGUGUUUGUGUCAAAUAUAAAGAGCCAUAGGCCGACCUAAAAAGUGCUAAAUUGAGCUAUAAUCAUAUCAAAAUAGGAUUUACAAUAACAAGGUGCUAUUUAUUGUAACUGAACAUGUAAGCUUACCAUGAGUUUACGUUAGGUGUGCUCGCAAAUGCGUCAAAAAAUCUAUGAAUAUUUCAAUUCUUAAAAACAGCCGCUAGGGGCGCUGUACAGUGUACAAUCUGUCAUACAUUUAUUGUCAUUUGCCAGUGAGCACAUCUAACAUAAACUCAUGGUAAGCAUACCGCACUUUUCAACAUGUGACGUAAUGUCACAUGUAUGAGGCAGGUCAUCCCAAGAAAAUUGUCUAGAAAGGGACAUUGUAUCUAGUGAAAUUCCUAGGUAUAAAGUACCCUCUUUUUACCCUAAAUGGGAACCUGUUACAAAAAUAAUAUAAUGAAAUCUGUGAUGAGUAAAUUUAUACAUUUUUUUGUAGAAAGAAUAAAAUGGAUAGAGUAUGUACUUGCCAAAAUAUUUUUCAUUAAGUGCAUACUAAAACACAUCAGGCUGAACACUGGCACCUUAUGGCGUUCUUAUAAGUGCUAUUUUGCUACAAAAUUUAAAAAAAAAAUCUAGUUUAUUCAGUACAUAGGCCCUUUCCAGGGCACUUAUACACGUCCCAAAUAUAGCUUGCCCUACCACCAUUUCUGCUGGUAGAAGUGGCGGAAGAAACUCAGCCACCUUUGUCAAAAAAUGUAUAGUCUGAUGUGCUGUUGACUGUACAUUUAUUUCAAAAUCUAAUAAUUAGUUUGUAAGGAGCGAUAUCAAUAAAUUUUAAAAAAUCAAAUUAUAUUUGUAUUCAUAUUUGACGUAAUUAUUUUAAUACUAGACUACAAAUACACUAUGAGUAGCAGUUAAAUUUUCGAAUGAGAUUAUAUUCGUAUCUCUUAUUUUUAUAUUAAUUAUUUAUUGUUAAGUAAGAUAAGUCCAUUAAGUGUGAAAUACACAAGUCGAACAAAUCACGGACAAAAUUCUUAAAAUGUGAACGUGGUUACUUAUUUUCAGUACAUGAAUUUUUAAUUACAGACUUUAAUUGUAAACAAAUACGAGUAUUAUGCCCGUUUUCAUCAUCAAUACCUAAUUUUUAAUUGAGGGAUCACUUAAAAAUUGUAUGUGUUACAACAACAUACAUUUUGUUUUCUUUCGUUUUGUUUACACGGGCAUUUUGUUUUACUUAAAAAUUAGGGAUUGAUGGUGAAAACGGGCAAUUAAUCUUUUUUUAAUUCAUUUGUUAUUUUCUCGGUUAUUUUUUUUUUCGGUUAAAUUAUUGUGAUUUCAAUAUUUGCAAUAACGUUGCCAUAUUCUAGGUUUUCUUUUGUUAUGUAUGUUAUAACAAUUUUCUUCUUUGUUUAUACUUAAAAUCUCGAAUUAAAAGUUUACUAAACUGCAAAUACGUAACCUACAUAAAAUUUUUAAUGUAAAUUAAUGAUAAAAAAUAUAUUUGUUUGUUGUGUUUAUGGGUGACAUUUCGAUGAUUUUUAUCAAUAACUUCUCACUACUCAUACCCCCUUACUAAUAAAAAGUUACACACUUGUUGAACACUGUUUUAAAAUUACAUUUCCAUACAAAAACGUCACUUAAAAACUGUGUGUUCAACAAGCGUGUAAAUUUUAUUAGGAAGGAGGUAGUUAGUAGUUAUUUAAUUGUGUUUGGUUUAUUUGUGUUACAAAAGUUUGUCAAACAUGAAAAUAACCUGUGAGAUGUUGACACUACGGUCGAUUUGUGACCCAAUCUUGUUCGUUCUAAAAGAGUAUGUAGGUAUAAAAACAUAUUUUGAAUGUUGAUAUUUUUUAAAUGUUUACUCUGGUGCAAUUUUGUAUCUGUAAAGUCCGAUUUAUAUGCGUACUUAAGAGUGCUUCCAAUUUCAAGUACAAAUAUACCAUUCCAUUUACAA